GGAGAGGUGGCCGAGUCCGGUUUAAGGCGCACGCCUGGAACGCGUGUAGACUCGAAAGGGUCUCGGGGGUUCGAAUCCCCCCCUCUCCGCCA
rnacentral:tRNA from 1 species